CGGACUGGAGUCUGCAACCCGACUCCACGAAGUUGGAUUCGCUAGUAAUCGCGCAUCAGCCAUGGCGCGGUGAAUACGUUCCCGGGCCUUGUACACACCGCCCGUCAAGCCAUGGGAGCCGGGGGCGCCUGAAGUCCGGGACCGCGAGGACCGGCCUAGGGCGAAACUGGUAACUGGGGCUAAGUCGUAACAAGGUAGC
rnacentral:rRNA from 1 species